rnacentral:SRP_RNA from 1 species
GCUGCAUGUCUGUAGUCCCAGAUACUUGAAAGGCAAAGAAAGAAGGAUCCCUUGAGUCCAGGAAUUCUGGGCUGUAGUGUGCUAUGCUGAUUGGGUGUCCGCACUAAGUUCAGCAUCAGUAUGGUGACCUCCUGGGAACAGGAGACCGCCAGUUUGCCUAAGAAGGGAUGUCCCAGCCCAGUUCAGAAAUGGAGCAGGUCAGAACUCCCAUGCUGAUCAGUAGUGGGAUCAGGCUUGUGAAUAGCCACUGCUCACCUGCCUGGGCAACCUAGUGAGUGAGAACGUGUUUCUUA